rnacentral:misc_RNA from 1 species
UAUUGCUUGCUUCUAACACCAUGGUACCAUGUGAAUUCAGUUGUACCACUAACAAUUUAGUGCAAAACUAACAAAUUAACUAACAAUUUAGCGACUUCCAACUAUGAAUUUCAAAAGAUAUUUAUUUUGACCAUAAUUAUGAAAUUAAUUUUUUAUUUAAAGUGAGUCCUAUUAUGCUUCAAUAAGAUUUUUACAUUAAUUAUGAAAUUAAUUUUAAAUUCAAAUUGGCUUUCAUAAUACUUGGUUGGAUUUCACAUAGCCAGAAAAAUAAGUUUUAUUUGCAAUUUGACCAAAUCAGGAACACAUGAUCUUGAAUCAAUUGUGUCAGUGUUAGUCGAUUUGAUAUGUAAUUGCUAAUGGUACAAUUCAAAUGAUACCAAAAUGUCA